GAAAGUAAGCAAGGGCAGACGGUGGAUGCCUUGGCUCUCGGAGGCGACGAAGGACGUGAUAAGCUGCGAAAAGCCCGGGGGAGGCGCAAAUAGCCGUUGAUCCCGGGAUAUCCGAAUGGGGCAACCCGGCAGGCUGAAGGCCUGCCAUCCCGUAAGGGAGGCGAACGUGGGGAACUGAAACAUCUAAGUACCCAUAGGAGGAGAAAAUAAACAAUGAUUCCGUAAGUAGUGGCGAGCGAACACGGAAGAGCCCAAACCCAUGUCGUCUAGGCGACACGGGGGUUGUAGGACCACGACGUGGCAAGAGGAUGGCAAGUGGAACGCCUUGGAAAGGGCGACCGUAGAGGGUGAUAGUCCCGUACACGACUGCCUGCCGAAGCCUAGUGGAAUCCUGAGUAGCGCGGGGCACGAGAAAUCUUGCGUGAAACUGCGGGGCCCAUCCCGUAAGGCUAAAUACUCCCGAGAGACCGAUAGCGAACCAGUACCGUGAGGGAAAGGUGAAAAGCACUUCGAACAGAAGAGUGAAAUAGUUCCUGAAACCGUGCGCCUACAAGCGGUCGGAGCUCGUUAAUGAGUGACGGCGUGCCUUUUGCAUAAUGAACCUACGAGUUGCCUUUGCCGGCAAGGUUAAGUGUGACGACACACGUAUCCGAAGCGAAAGCGAGUCUGAAUAGGGCGUAUAGUCGGCAGUGGCAGACGCGAAACCAAGUGAUCUACCCUUGGCCAGGUUGAAGGCUGGGUAACACCAGCUGGAGGACCGCACCAAUAAGCGUUGAAAAGCUUCUGGAUGAGCUGAGGGUAGGGGUGAAAGGCUAAUCAAACUUGGAGAUAGCUCGUACUCCCCGAAAUGCAUUUAGGUGCAGCCUUGCGGGUUACUGAUGUGAGGUAGAGCGACUGAUAAGAUGCGAGGGCUUCACCGCCUAUCAAGUCUUGACAAACUCCGAAUGCGCAUCAGUUCUACCGCAGGAGUGAGGGCAUGGGUGCUAAGGUCCGUGCCCGAGAGGAGAAGAAUCCGGACCACCUGCUAAGGUCCCGAAAUAACAGCUAAGUUAAACUAACGAAGUCAGAUUGCUAAGACAGCUAGGAUGUUGGCUUGGAAGCAGCCAUUCAUUUAAAGAGUGCGUAACAGCUCACUAGUCGAGCGAUCUGGCGUGGAUAAUAAUCGGGCAUAAACGAUCUGCCGAAGCCGUGGAUGUCGUAAGACAUGGUAGGGGAGCAUUCCAUGCCGCGUCGAAGAUGAGGGAUGACCCUUGUUGGAGCGCAUGGAAAAGCAAAUGUAGGUAUGAGUAACGAUAAGGGGGGCGAGAAACCCCCCCGCCGAAAGACCAAGGUUUCCUGAUCAACGCUAAUCGGAUCAGGGUGAGUCGGGACCUAAGGCAAAGCCGAACGGCGCCGCCGAUGGAAGAAUGGGUUAAUAUUCCCAUACUGCCUCAUGGAGUGACGUGGAGACGGAGAAGUGACAGUCCUGCCGGCUGACGGAAUAGCCGGUUGAAGGGUGUAGAUAUUGAUUCCCGUAGGCAAAUCCGCGGGGAGAGUCGAACCUGAGAGUAUACGGAGCGCUUGCGCGACGUAAUAUGGACGUAACCAUGCUCCCAAGAAAAUCCGCUAAACUUAUCCAUGCGGCACCCGUACCGUAAACGGACACACGUGGUCGGGUUGAGAAUACUGAGGCGCUCGAGUGACUCACGGUUAAGGAACUAGGCAAAUUGACCCUGUAACUUCGGGAUAAAGGGUCCUCGUCGUAAGGCGAGGCGCAGAGAAUAGGUCCAGGCAACUGUUUAACAAAAACACAUGGCUGUGCUAAAUGGAAACAUGACGUAUACAGCCUGACACCUGCCCGGUGCUGGAAGGUUAAGAGGAGAUGUCAUCGCAAGAGAAGCGUUGAAUUGAAGCCCCAGUAAACGGCGGCCGUAACUAUAACGGUCCUAAGGUAGCGAAAUUCCUUGUCGGGU
rnacentral:rRNA from 1 species